rnacentral:misc_RNA from 1 species
UAUGUGCACCUAAUAAUUCCUCCACCGAAAUGGCCAAUUGGAUUUGGACCCAACGCAAAACGGUCUGACGUCUCCUUCCAUGACCUAAAAAACGUGCCUUUAAUAACCGGCCGGUGUCACAUCCUUCUUCAGUUGCAGAGGGGGGCAAACAGAGACUCCGCCAUCUAGCAGUGACCCGCCACAUAUGGCGGCCACCUCACCACUCCAAUCCCCACUCUCAAUUAACACCGCCAGAGCUCCAAACCUUUCUUCCCUUCUCCCGGUGAAUCCAUCUCAAGCCAAAAUUUUGACCAACCGUGGCAUUACUAUUAGGUGCGACAAUCUUCCUCAGAAUUUGAGCGUUGGGUUUCCCUCUGGCACCGAUCGCAUUCCUUCUAUUCAAAGCUCCUCUCUUUCUCUUUCCACUUCUGUUUCAAUGGCCGCCACUUCUGUCUCCGAUUCAGCCUCCAAGAAUGUGAAAAGGGUGUGCCUUUUUAACUGCCACGAGACUAGGGCGUUGGCCCAGCGAAUCGCCGCCGAGUCUGACGUCAUUGAGCUCUGCUCCAUCACUUGGAGGACAUUUGAGGAUGGAUUUCCCAACUUGUUUAUACCCAAUGCGCAAGCGAUUCGCGGGCAGCACGUAGCUUUCCUGGCCUCUUUUAGUUCUCCGAAAGUGAUUUUCGAGCAGCUUUCCAUAAUAUAUGCAUUGCCCAAAUUGUUCAUUUCUUCUUUCACUCUCGUCCUUCCAUUUUUCCCUACUGGCACCUCUGAGCGUAUGGAGGAUGAAGGAGAUGUAGCCACGGCUUUUACUCUCGCAAGGAUCUUGUCUAACAUACCCACUUCAAGGGGAGGUCCUACUAGCUUAGUGACUUUCGAUAUCCACGCCUUGCAGGUUUUUGUCUGAUAUUUUUUUUAACGUGUGCUUUUGUGGGUUCUUUCUUUAAUUGUUUUUAGUUGCUCUUGUUUUACCCCUCCGUUUCUCCAGAAUUUUCGACAGUGUCUAUGCUUCGGUUAAUUCUGAUUUGUUGUAUUUUAGGAGAGGUUCUACUUUGGUGAUAAUAUUCUACCCUGCUUUGAGAGUGGGAUACCUUUGCUCAAAAAUCGGCUUCAGCAGCUUCCUGAUUCUGAUAAUAUAGCUAUAGCUUUUCCUGAUGAUGGGGCAUGGAAACGAUUUCACAAGCAGCUGCAGCAUUUCCCCACGAUUGUUUGUGCUAAAGUUCGGGAAGGAAGCCAAAGAAUUGUUCGUAUUAAGGAGGGGGACCCUCAAGGAAGACAUGUUGUGAUUGUUGAUGAUUUAGUUCAGUCAGGUGGCACUCUUGUUGAAUGCCAGGUGCCAAAUACCUGUACAUGAUUUCCCUUUCUACUGAUUUUCACAGGAAUCCAUCUGUAAUAUUCUAAUUAUGUGUCUUAAGACUUGCAUGAUUUGUGGUGGAGUACAAAAUGUGAUAUAAAGAUCAUAUGGAAAAUCAAUUUACAUAAUCAACAUUUAGGAAACGUUGGGCUUUGUAUUGAAACAUGGAAAUUGACUUUCUUUGGUUGGACGGUUGUACAGGAACACCUGUUCGUGCUUGACCAUUUUAAGUUUGUAUCUAUUGUUUUACCUCGUAGAUCUUGAGAGAGGAAUCUUUUUAUAUAUAUCAUAUGUAAUUUGAAUGAAGAUACUUACCCUAUUUGUCCUCAUGUUUUGUAGAAAGUAUUGGCCAAGCACGGAGCUGCAAGAAUAAGUGCCUAUGUAACACAUGGGAUUUUUCCUAAUAGGUCAUGGGAACGCUUUGAAUUUGAUAAUGGAGGUAUUGCAUGAUCUCCAGUUACUAUUAAAUCUUUGAAGCCACAUAUUACAUAUAUGUUAUUUUUCCUCUUCUUGGCAAGUGUAUACAUUGAAAGUGAAGAUGAUAUUGCUUUAUGACGUCCCUAGGGCCUUGGCUUAGUUUGUUUAUUCUAGGUUCAAAUAUUAUCAGAAAAAAGAAAAUAAAAAUUGCUUUGUUGUGUUGACUUGGUGGGGUGACUUCUUUCAAACCUUCCUCUGCUUUCUUCUCACACUGCAUCAGAUAAAUUUCUGCGGGGAGCUUCUUGAAAUAUGCCAUUAUUCUCAAAGCUCUAUGUAUUUAUUUCUUUAUGUUCAUGAUAGCUUUGUUAAGCUCCAAUCUUUCAAUUUCAAUCCUUGAUUGUCCUCCAUUUAUAUUCCUUCUAACAUACUUUCCCACAAUUCUCUUCCUCCUAUGGUGAAGCAUCCCUAUCUCAUCAUAUUCAUUUUCUUCUUUUUAUUCUGUAGUCAGUGUGUAUCUGUGUGUACUGAAAUGUGACCUUUGAUGUCAUCGACUGAGUGUUAAUUGGGUCCAAAUACUGGUGAAACUUGGGAUUCUCUAAUGGAAGAUUUGGUCCUCUUUUGGAUGCUGGGGAGAUAAUUGGGUUAUCUGCAAGAAAGAAAUAAAUGCUGAUAGUGAUACAGAAAAUUUCUCUUAGGGUAGUGACACUGGCACGACAGUAUUCUCGCAGACAUGGCUUUAGUUUAUACUCUUGGUUCUUUGAUAUCUACAAUUAAUAUAUUGAGAACUUAAGAAGACUCUACACUUUCAUGUUUUUUAUUUUUUGAAGAGUAAUGUUGCAGAGACCAGAAAUUUCUUGCCUAAUUUUUACACUUAAUGAUAUGCCAUUUUCCUUUUUGUCAUGCCAAAUUCACAGUUGGCUUGGGUUAUAUGUAUGAGCAGACAGAUCAUAGUGUGAGAAAAAUUUUGCAAGAAUGUGUAGCAUUUCUGUUUUCCUUAACACAAUCGUGUCUGGAUUUAAAGCCCUUGGCAUGUUUCCUUUCUAAUUGUAUUACUCCCUCUAAAAUAUUAUGUUUUUCAAUAUAUUUUUUUUCUUUAAAAUAGGCCUGAUUAAGGUCAAAUUUGCUUUCUAUUUGUGAAUAUCUAAUUCUUUCUUUUCUGUCUCUAUCUUUGUUGUUUUCUUGCUCUUGUUUUGUACAGGUCAUCCUGGGAAAGGGCUGACCUACUUCUGGAUUACAGAUUCUUGCCCAUUGACAGUGAAAGAGGUGAUAAACAAACCACCAUUUGAGGUUCUUAGCCUUGCCAGUUCGAUAGCAGCUGCACUACAGAUUUAAUAGCUUCUGAUCAUUUUGACAUAAUUGACGUGCGGUGGAAAUUGUUGAUAAUCGAGAGUUUAUUUAUUUAUUUAUCCUUUCUUCCUUUCUUUUCUGCAUAAUGUUUAGUCUUUUAAUCUUAAUGUUUAGACUGUUAUUGUAUGUUUAAGUGAUGUUGAGUAUGCAUCUAUAAGAAUUAUGACAUUGGAACUCCGAAGGCAGCAGAAUGUAAAUUCUACUUGCAGGGGUGGCUAUGGGCUGAUUCUGGUCUGGAUGUUUUUCAAGUUUCAUUAUUUUGAAUGCGAACUUACUUGAUGCUUGACCGUUCUCCAAAUCUGUUUUUGAAGCCAUUUUUUCAACUGUUCGGUGGUUCGUGGCUUUGGGAGACCUAGUGAGGGGGGGUGGUUCCCCAUGUAUGGUUGAAGUAAUUCAACUGUUGAAAUAAUUUUCUUUUUUUUAUUAUUUUAAUUCAAGGUGCAGACCAAAUCGAACUGCUAGUUCUAAUUUUGAUAUAGGGACCAUUAUCACCCCCUCUCCAAUCGGGGGAAAGCUCGAGACUUGACUGAUUUCGGGCCCAAAUUGGUCCUUGGCACUUCGAAGGAAUCUGAUGUUCCUUCCUUAAUAAGAUUGUUUCAUCCUGCUCUUUCAAUGUCACCGGAGUGUUCAGAGGGACUUUCGAUGAUGUUAAAUUAAAGUGAGUGAAGAUGAUGAAACAACCCAGGAGUCCUGGGUAUGAAAUUAAGCCGAUGAUCAUCGGUGAAAAAGCCAUUUCUCUCAUUGUUAUAUAGUAAAAGCUAUGACAUCAUUGUUGCACGAAAUUGACGGUAAUGCAGUUUUUCUGAGCUAGAAACGUCUCUCCAUAGAGAUUGCAUUUGGAUAUUGAUGAUUUAUGAUUUGUGUAUGAUGUAUAUAGA